rnacentral:rRNA from 1 species
UACGAAGGGGGCUAGCGUUGUUCGGAUUUACUGGGCGUAAAGCGCACGUAGGCGGAUCGUUAAGUCGGGGGUGAAAUCCUGGAGCUCAACUCCAGAACUGCCUUCGAUACUGACGAUCUAGAGUCCGGAAGAGGUGAGUGGAACUCCUAGUGUAGAGGUGGAAUUCGUAGAUAUUAGGAAGAACACCAGUGGCGAAGGCGGCUCACUGGUCCGGUACUGACGCUGAGGUGCGAAAGCGUGGGGAGCAAACAGG